rnacentral:rRNA from 1 species
AUUGAACGCUGGCGGCAGGCCUAACACAUGCAAGUCGAACGAGUGGCGGACAGGUGAGUAAUGUCUGGGAAACUGCCCGCUGGGGGGGGAUAACUACUGGAAACGGUAGCUAAUACCGCAUACCACAGGAUGUGCCCACAUUGGAUUAGCUGGUAGGUGAGGUAACGGCUCACCUAGGCGACGAUCCCUAUCUGGUCUGAGAGGAUGACCAGCCACACUGGAACUGAGACACGGUCCAGACUCCUACGGGAGGCAGCAGUGGGGAAUAUUGCACAAUGGGCGCAAGCCUGAUGCAGCCAUGCCGCGUGUAUGAAGAAGGCCUUCGGGUUGUAAAGUACUUUCAGCGGGGAGGCGUUACCCGCAGAAGAAGCACCGGCUAACUCCGUGCCAGCAGCCGCGGUAAUAC